GACGAACGCUGGCGGCGUGCUUAACGCAUGCAAGUCGAACGGAAAGGCCCUGCUUUUGUGUGGUGCUCGAGUGGCGAACGGAUGGGUAACACAUGAGUAACCUACCCUUGACUUUGGGAUAACUUCAAGAAACUAGGGCUUAUACCUGAUAGGAACUCCUGCGUCUUGGUGGGGGUUGGAAAGGUUCGGCGGUUGGGGCUGGACUCGCGGCUUAUCAGCUUGGUGGUGGGGUAGUGGCUUACCAAGGCUUUGACGAGGAGCCGGCUUGAGAGGGUGACCGGCCCCAGUGGGAUAGGGGUACGGCCCGGGCUGAUACGGGAGGAAGCAGUGGAGAAUAUUGCACAAUGGGCGGAAGCCUGAUGCAGCAACUCCGCGUGCGGGAUGUCGGCCUUCGGGGUGUAAACGCCUUUCGCCUGUGAGGAAGAGUGAGUGACGGUAAUGGGUAAAGAAGCAACGGCUAACUACGUG
rnacentral:rRNA from 1 species